GGCGGGACACGUGGUAUCCUGUCUGAAUAUGGGGGGACCAUCCUCCAAGGCUAAAUACUCCUGACUGACCGAUAGUGAACCAGUACCGUGAGGGAAAGGCGAAAAGAACCCCGGCGAGGGGAGUGAAAAAGAACCUGAAACCGUGUACGUACAAGCAGUGGGAGCACCCUUUGGGGUGUGACUGCGUACCUUUUGUAUAAUGGGUCAGCGACUUAUAUUCUGUAGCAAGGUUAACCGAAUAGGGGAGCCGGAGGGAAACCGAGUCUUAAUUGGGCGUUAAGUUGCAGGGUAUAGACCCGAAACCCGGUGAUCUAGCCAUGGGCAGGUUGAAGGUUGGGUAACACUAACUGGAGGACCGAACCGACUAAUGUUGAAAAAUUAGCGGAUGACCUGUGGCUGGGGGUGAAAGGCCAAUCAAACCGGGAGAUAGCUGGUUCUCCCCGAAAGCUAUUUAGGUAGCGCCUCGUGAAUUCAUCUCCGGGGGUAGAGCACUGUUUCGGCUAGGGGGCCAUCCCGGCUUACCAACCCGAUGCAAACUGCGAAUACCGGAGAAUGUUAUCACGGGAGACACACGGCGGGUGCUAACGUCCGUCGUGAAGAGGGAAACAACCCAGACCGCCAGCUAAGGUCCCAAAGUCAUGGUUAAGUGGGAAACGAUGUGGGAAGGCCCAGACAGCCAGGAUGUUGGCUUAGAAGCAGCCAUCAUUUAAAGAAAGCGUAAUAGCUCACUGGUCGAGUCGGCCUGCGCGGAAGAUGUAACGGGGCUAAACCAUGCACCGAAGCUGCGGCAGCGACGCUGAUGCGUUGUUGGGUAGGGGAGCGUUCUGUAAGCCUGUGAAGGUGGCCUGUGAGGGUUGCU
rnacentral:rRNA from 1 species